UGAACGCUGGCGGCAGGCCUAACACAUGCAAGUCGAGCGGAAACGAUCCUAGCUUGCUAGGAGGCGUCGAGCGGCGGACGGGUGAGUAAUGCAUAGGAAUCUGCCCGGUAGUGGGGGAUAACUUGAGGAAACUCAAGCUAAUACCGCAUACGCCCUACGGGGGAAAGCAGGGGCUCUUCGGACCUUGCGCUAUCGGAUGAGCUUAUGUCGGAUUAGCUGGUUGGUGAGGUAACGGCUCACCAAGGCGACGAUCCGUAGCUGGUCUGAGAGGAUGAUCAGCCACAUCGGGACUGAGACACGGCCCGAACUCCUACGGGAGGCAGCAGUGGGGAAUAUUGGACAAUGGGGGCAACCCUGAUCCAGCCAUGCCGCGUGUGUGAAGAAGGCCCUCGGGUUGUAAAGCACUUUCAGCGAGGAAGAAUGCUUGUCGGUUAAUACCCGGCAAGGGAGACAUCACUCGCAGAAGAAGCACCGGCUAACUCCGUGCCAGCAGCCGCGGUAAUACGGAGGGUGCGAGCGUUAAUCGGAAUUACUGGGCGUAAAGCGUGCGUAGGCGGCUUGAUAAGCCGGUUGUGAAAGCCCCGGGCUCAACCUGGGAACGGCAUCCGGAACUGUUAGGCUAGAGUGCAGGAGAGGAAGGUAGAAUUCCCGGUGUAGCGGUGAAAUGCGUAGAGAUCGGGAGGAAUACCAGUGGCGAAGGCGGCCUUCUGGACUGACACUGACGCUGAGGUACCAAAGCGUGGGUAGCAAACAGGAUUANAUACCCUGGUAGUCCACGCCGUAAACNAUGUCGACUANCCGUNGGGGUCCUCGA
rnacentral:rRNA from 1 species